rnacentral:ncRNA from 1 species
GUGAGCCACAUGCGGGGAGACCCGCACGUACGGUUUUCAAGGGGAUCCGGCCGGCCGGCGCCCACCCGACUAGAGGGACUGAGAAAUUAAUCGAGUACAAAACUUAUCUUCAAGCUUUACCUUAU